rnacentral:lncRNA from 1 species
CUUGAUGGUGGAAACUGACUCCUGGAAAGACAAUUCCUAUGUAGGCACACUGACACUGUGCAGCUGCUAGCUCUCACAGGCAUGCAUGUGAUCUCAUUCCACACAGAACACAUACAAAAUCAUGUAAUUGCAAAGAAACAUUCCUAGGGUGUGUUUAUGGUACAUUGGGAGAAUUAGUGCUGAAUUUAUGAGUCUGCCAAUUCAGAUCAACAUUAGUGAUUCAGCUUGCAAACCUGAGGUGCUGUCUAUUUUGAGAUAUCUCUGGGAACAGUGGAGUGGGAAAGAUAUGUAUACCUGUGUGAAUUUGUGCACCUAGGAAAUGGGUGUGGACAUGGGGGCCUUUAAGGCAAGUACUGUUGAAAAAGUGACAGUUAUGGAACCUCCCUUUUCAAAAUGACCUAAGAACACAGAACCUUGGUAACCUAAGGCAACCCACUGUUUAGAGCAAGGCCUACAGGCUCACUUGUUAGAGACUGUAGAGAGGGCAGGAUGUUCUCAAGCUGUCUUCAGACUACUCCAUGUUCAGGCCUCAAGAAAGACAAAAGGCGGGGCCAUGAUGGUGUCUGGAGGCACAGGCUUCAUUCAGUCUUGCCUUAAAAACCUGUGGCCAUUUUCCAAAAGGGGAAAUAAUUUUACCAAAGACUACCAAGGAACGGCCCACAAAGACUUGGAUGAGAAGGUUUCUGCUUAAAAGAGUCUGAUGGAGCCCAGUAUGGAGUCAUGCAUCAGGGCACAGACUGUGGUUGAGCAGAUGAGCACGCUGGUGCCUUCUCUGAAUGAAGGGUACCCCUUGGUUGUCCUUGCUUUUCUGUCUACAUAUAAAAGUUCUGUGUCACCCCUUCAGGUAUUGGACCUGCUGUUUGUGAGGUAUGCAUACUUCAGCCCUCAUUCUAAAGAGGAUAAACAAGUAAAGAACACUCUCUGUAGCUUCCUGGAAACAUGGAUGGACAAGAACCCUGAGGACUUUUGUGACCCAUCAGACCUGUUGCCUCUGAAACACCUGAGGCCUACUUGAGUGUGUACAUGCCCCACUGUGAUCUUAGUGUCCAUGUCAAGAGGCUGCUGACACAGUUGGAGGAAGAACAUGCCAAGGAUUCCCAGGCCAAAAAUGAGGAAGACUCAGAUCUGGGGAGACACACAUCCUCAGAACCACAGAUUGAAUGGGUUUAAACCAACAGGGAAAAGAGACAACCUGGAGACUGAACCAACUUGUGCACAGAGCUGGAGGGCAGAAAACUCUCUAGAAGUUUCUGUAACACAUGAGACCCUGCAGCCAGAUAUGUCAGCAGCUGGGCAGACAGCACACAUGAUAGCAAUUGUGGAACUUGUUUCUCAGUAUGUCUGCAGAAACGAUGUAUCUUUCAGUCAUCUCCUGCUUGUUAAAGGCCAACCUAUUUAGAAAAUGGCCCUGUCACAUCUGGUCAUCAACUGGAGUCUGUCCUACAUCUGAGCUGCUGCUCCUGCCCCUCAUGAUCAGCUGCUGAUUUCAAUCCAGCAGCAGUUCCAACCCCACAGCCAGCCUACCCCUCCCCUGAGAGAGCCCCUUUAUUCCUUCUGAUAUUUCAAGGUUGUGUUUAUUUUAAGUAUUGGUUUUAAUAAGUUGUUAGUAUUUGUUUACAUUGUCUGCAAUGCUAUCUAAUAAUGAGAAAAAAAUGUGUCCAAAUUAUGAAUAUUCUCUUUGAUAUAUUUUUUAAAAUUUAUUC